rnacentral:rRNA from 1 species
GAUUGCCCUAGUAACGGCGAGUGAAGCGGCAACAGCUCAAAUUUGAAAUCUGGCUCUUUCAGGGUCCGAGUUGUAAUUUGUAGAGGGUGCUUUGGCGUUGGCUGCGGUCUAAGUUCCUUGGAACAGGACGUCAUGGAGGGUGAGAAUCCCGUACGUGGCUGACAGUCUUCGCCGUGUAAAGCCCCUUCGACGAGUCGAGUUGUUUGGGAAUGCAGCUCUAAAUGGGAGGUAAAUUUCUUCUAAAGCUAAAUAUUGGCCAGAGACCGAUAGCGCACAAGUAGAGUGAUCGAAAGAUGAAAAGCACUUUGGAAAGAGAGUCAAAAAGCACGUGAAAUUGUUGAAAGGGAAGCGCUUGCAGCCAGACUUGCCUGUAGUUGCUCAUCCGGGCUCUCGCCCGGUGCACUCUUCUGCGGGCAGGCCAGCAUCAGUUCGAGCGGCCGGAUAAAGACCUCUGUCACGUAUCUUCCUUCGGGAUGACCUUAUAGGGGAGGUGUAAUGCGGCCAGCUCGGAUUGAGGUCCGCGCAUCUGCUAGGAUGCUGGCGUAAUGGCUGUAAGCGGCCCGUCUUGAAACACGGACCAAGGAGUCUAACAUCUAUGCGAGUGUUUGGGUGUCAAGCCCGGGCGCGCAAUGAAAGUGAACGGAGGUGGGAACCCCUCGGGGCGCACCAUCGACCGAUCCUGAUGUCUUCGGAUGGAUUUGAGUAAGAGCAUAGCUGUUGGGACCCGAAAGAUGGUGAACUAUGCCUGAAUAGGGUGAAGCCAGAGGAAACUCUGGUGGAGGCUCGCAGCGGUUCUGACGUGCAAAUCGAUCGUCAAAUUUGGGCAUAGGGGCGAAAGACUAAUCGAACUAUCUAGUAGCUGGUUCCUGCCGAAGUUUCCCUCAGGAUAGCAGUAACGUUUUCAGUUUUAUGAGGUAAAGCGAAUGAUUAGAGGCCUGGGGGUUGAAACAACCUUCACCUAUUCUCAAACUUUAAAUAUGUAAGAAGUCCUUGUUACUUAAUUGAACGUGGACAUUUGAAUGUACCGUUACUAGUGGGCCAUUUUUGGUAAGCAGAACUGGCGAUGCGGGAUGAACCGAACGCGGGGUUAAGGUGCCGGAAUGCACGCUCAUCAGACACCACAAAAGGUGUUAGUUCAUCUAGACAGCAGGACGGUGGCCAUGGAAGUCGGAAUCCGCUAAGGAGUGUGUAACAACUCACCUGCCGAAUGAACUAGCCCUGAAAAUGGAUGGCGCUCAAGCGUGCUACCCAUACCCCGCCGCCAGGGCAGAAAUUACGCCCUGGCGAGUAGGCAGGCGUGGAGGCUCGUGACGAAGCCUUGGGGGUGACCCCGGGUUGAACAGCCUCUAGUGAAUUG